UUACUCCCAAUAUCCUCUUCCAAACAGUAUUUGUACCCAUUUUCACUUUUUCACUUUUAUUUUUUCUUGCUCUCACGUUUAGUUCCCUUUCGUUUUUUCUCAGAUUGCUUUUUUCUUCCUUCUCCCUCUCCUUCUUCUUUCUCCCUAUUCUUCUUCCUCCUUCAUCUUCUUCUUACUUCUCCAUCUCCUUCUUCAUUGUUAUUAUUGAGUUUCAUACAAGUUCGAUUUUGAUUUUGAUUUGGUGUUUGUUGUUUCAGGUUUGGUGGUGUUGACUCACGCGAAAGGGGGAAGCUUCGUUGACGGUGCGGUUAUUUGAACAUAUGAUCUACGAAAUUAUGGCGGUGGAUAUGACGUUUCCGGCGAUAGGCGGUUUGAUAGUGGUAUACUAUAGUAGCGGCAACACGUUUUUUGACGGCGGGUGUGGUGGUUGGAUUCAAAAUUAUUUUUGUGUGACUUUUUGGUCAAAUCUGUCAUGAGGUUUGAAAGCUUGCUUUCCCCCAGUUUGUGUCUGCAGCGCUGUUACCGGCAUGGAAAACAUUGCAAUUUUGCUGUGAGAAGUUAUACAUCUUAUGUAUUCAACUUACUAAUCUCUGGCUUUUGUUAUGACAAAAUUUGUUUACAAAAUAGCAUCUUAUGUAUUCAACUUACUAACCUGUAGCUUUUCCUUCUAGAAAUUUUAGAUUGAUUCCGAUAAGUCGGUAGUCGAAUUAAAAAUUCACUAUAAAGAUUUGGUUCAUGAUGUAUUCGAAAUUGAUUCAAAUCAGGUUGAGGUUCCGAGCUACAUCAAGAUACAGGUGGUCAAUAGUGGUUCAUUUUCUGAACGGGAUUGUUCUAAUGAAAUUUCGUUUAGUUUGAAGUUUAAACAUGGCGGUCUUAACGAGACUAAUAAAAGAACAACAUGGACUGGAGAAUAACAUAGGUAUCUGAAAUAUUUUACUUCAAUUUAGGUUUUUAUUGUGUACUAUUGUCUACGUUUUGCAACUCACGCGUCACGUGUUCGACUAAAUGUUUCAACUGGUUUCUUUCUGCUAAUUAUUAAUUACUUUGUAGCCUGUCUUAUGUAGCUGUAUUGAUAGUGCUUGAUACGGGAAGUGAGAUUAGUCAUAGAGAAACUUGAUUGAUAAAAGCAGUGGUGUGUUUCUUACACGAGCAGUCCUCCCGUAAUCUUCAAGAACAUGAAAACCAUUGUUUUUGGGUGAACCUUUAUUCUUUGUUCAUGACUAAAGGUUUAGUAAAUAAUGUAAUAUUUCUCUUUCAGUACAUGCAGAACAUUAGGGAAGCGGCGUUUUCCAUCAAGAAGAUGCCCUUGACCAAGGAUAAAAAGUUAUUUGGAAGAUGUUCUUGCCCACAAAAAAACCAUUCCAUUCAGACGUUUUUGCCAUGGUGUUGGCAGGACAGCUCAGGCCAAGAAUAGACAUUCCAAUGGGCAAGGAUGGUGGCCUGCCAAAACUGAAAUGAGAAAUAGUUUUCACCACAAUGCUGGAAGUACGAUUUAUAAAGGCCAGUUGCUAAGGCAUUUGGUGGAAGGGAAAAGGAUGCCGUUGAUGCCAAAUCGACAAUUUAAGACUUUUAUUUUUGCACUGUUUAAUGAGAAUUUGAAACAUGGCUCAAUUACUGGUGCUGCUUAUAAAAGACUGGAGUUAGGACGUAACUAUCAAUCAUGUUGAGGGUCCUGCUAGGAUGUUGAUAUUACACUCACCUUUCUGGAAAGAAGCUCCUGCUGCUCAUUUUCUUAUUAUGAAUCUUUUGAGACUUUACCUCCUGAUAGUGUGCCAAAAAAUAAUGCUUUCGUUCUGUAAUUCGGGAGCCUCAGAGUUUUCUUAUCGAUGAAAAAAAUAAUGUCAAAAAGCCAUGUGACAGCAUCUUCCAAAUGCACAUUCAAUCUGCUGAUUAGGAAACAUAUUCAACGGUUUCUUCCUCGAAACAAAAUUCAAAAACAAGAUUUGCAUCUGAUGAUUGCGAUGUAGUGAUUUGCAUCUGAUCAGGAAACACACCUCAGCACUCGGUGUUUCUCUGGAUAGGCUCGUCGAAGCAGCUGAUUCGACUUCAAUAUGUUUUUCCUUUCUUUUCCUAUUUUAACUGUGAUUCAACAUUGCUUCUGUCUUUGGCAGUGUUUAUUACCUGGAGGAGUUGCAUGAGUUCCCAACAUCCAAAUUGUGAUUCUGGGAAACUACCUUGAAGUUAAAGAUUCAAGUUGCCAUGCUGCCAGCAAUUAUUUUUCAUUGAUUAUAGUCAAAUUUCUAUUUUUAAUGUAUACAUUGUUGUCUAGAUCAUGUGUUGAUUAUGUGCAAUGGUUUUUUAGUUUUUAUCAUGUACUACAUUGUUCUUUUAGGCAAAACUGUCUCUAUUGUACUAAAAAUAUUAAUAGUAAUUGAAAAGGUUUAUUUAAUCUGUAAAAUAAAUGGAUAGUGUAUUUCAAUUAAGUAUCUUUCUUUUUUUUUUUUGAAAUCAAGGAUUAUAUUAAAGAACUCCAACCAUUCAAGAUUACAACACCAAAAGGCCAAAAGCAAGAAAAUUACAAACCGAUUGAAACUAACUUAAGUAAAACAAUGGGUUAUUGCUAAACUCAUAGAAGUUAUAAUUGGAAUGAGUAAUUUUCCCGAUAUACGACCACCUCCACACAAGAGUUUUACAACUCC